UAGGGAAUAUUGGACAAUGGGGGCAACCCUGAUCCAGCCAUGCCGCGUGAGUGAAGAAGGCCCUCGGGUUGUAAAGCUCUUUUGUCCGGAAAGAAAAGCUUCGGGUUAAUACCCCGGGGUUCUGACGGUACCGGAAGAAUAAGCACCGGCUAACUUCGUGCCAGCAGCCGCGGUAAUACGAAGGGUGCAAGCGUUACUCGGAAUUACUGGGCGUAAAGCGUGCGUAGGUGGUUGUUUAAGUCUGAUGUGAAAGCCCUGGGCUCAACCUGGGAAUGGCAUUGGAAACUGGGCAGCUAGAGUGCGGUAGAGGGUAGUGGAAUUCCCGGUGUAGCGGUGAAAUGCGUAGAGAUCGGGAGGAACAUCUGUGGCGAAGGCGACUGCCUGGACCAGCACUGACACUGAGGCACGAAAGCGUGGGGAGCAAACA
rnacentral:rRNA from 1 species